UACGGGGGGAGCAAGCGUUGUUCGGAUUUACUGGGCGUAAAGGGCGCGUAGGCGGCCACCGCAAGUCGACUGUGAAAUCUCUGGGCUUAACCCGGAAAGGUCAGCCGAUACUGCGGGGCUAGAGUGCAGAAGGGGCAACUGGAAUUCUCGGUGUAGCGGUGAAAUGCGUAGAUAUCGAGAGGAACACCUGCGGCGAAGGCGGGUUGCUGGGCUGACACUGACGCUGAGGCGCGAAAGCUAGGGGAGCGAACGGG
rnacentral:rRNA from 1 species